rnacentral:sRNA from 1 species
AGCUCCCUUCCUCUUUCCUUUCGACGUCCUUCCUUCCCUUUUUCUCCUCUCCCCCCUCCCCCGCUUUCCCUUCUCCAGAUAAGCAGCUCCGGGAAACAAAGAAUCCGGGGCUCUCCAGACAUCAGAGCUUAAACCCAGGACUCUGCAAGCGGCAUCUCAUUCCGGGGUCCAGGGCUCUCCCGGCUCUCCAUCCCCUCCCUAACCUCCCCCGCCUCCCGCGCUCGCUCCCUCGCUCCCUCGCUCCCUCCCCGCUCGCUUCCUCCCCCACCAUCGCAGCGCUAGGAGGAAGGCGGCCGGGGCUCAAGAUGGCUUUAGCCGGGCUCUGCGCCCUGCUCGCCUGCUGCUGGGGGCCGGCGGCGGUGCUGGCCACGGCCGCCGGCGACGUGGAUCCAUCCAAGGAGCUGGAGUGCAAGCUCAAAAGCAUCACGGUGUCGGCACUGCCCUUCCUGCGCGAGAACGACCUGAGCAUCAUGCACAGCCCCUCGGCCUCGGAGCCCAAGCUCCUCUUCUCGGUGCGCAACGACUUCCCGGGAGAAAUGGUCGUGGUGGACGACCUGGAGAACACGGAGCUGCCCUACUUCGUGCUGGAGAUCUCAGGGAACACAGAGGAUAUCCCUUUGGUGCGCUGGAGGCAGCAGUGGCUGGAGAAUGGCACUUUGCUAUUUCACAUUCAUCACCAAGAUGGUGCCCCAAGCCUUCCUGGACAAGACCCCACUGAAGAACCCCAACAUGAGUCGGCAGAAGAGGAGCUGAGGAUCCUCCACAUCUCAGUCAUGGGUGGCAUGAUCGCUCUGCUGCUGUCCAUCUUGUGCCUGGUGAUGAUCCUGUAUACUCGCCGGCGCUGGUGCAAACGCCGCCGGGUCCCCCAGCCCCAGAAGAGUGCCAGUGCUGAGGCAGCCAAUGAGAUUCACUACAUUCCUUCUGUGCUGAUCGGCGGGCACGGACGGGAGAGCCUGCGCAAUGCCCGCGUGCAGGGCCACAACUCCAGUGGCACCCUGAGCAUCCGGGAGACACCCAUCCUGGACGGCUAUGAGUAUGACAUCACUGAUCUGCGCCACCAUCUGCAGAGGGAGUGCAUGAACGGAGGGGAGGACUUUGCCAGCCAGGUCACGCGCACCCUCGACUCCCUGCAGGGCUGCAAUGAAAAGUCGGGGAUGGACCUCACACCAGGAAGUGACAAUGCCAAGCUGUCACUGAUGAACAAGUAUAAAGAUAAUAUUAUAGCCACUAGCCCUGUGGACUCCAACCACCAGCAAGCCACCCUUCUCUCUCACACCUCCAGCAGCCAGAGAAAGCGGAUCAACAACAAAGCAAGAGCUGGUUCCGCCUUCUUGAACCCUGAAGGGGAUUCUGGCACAGAGGCAGAAAACGACCCCCAGCUGACCUUUUACACAGAUCCUUCAAGGAGCAGGAGGCGUAGUAGAGUGGGUUCUCCCCGAAGUCCUGUGAAUAAGACCACCUUGACCCUGAUCAGCAUCACCAGCUGUGUGAUUGGCCUCGUGUGCUCCUCUCACGUCAACUGCCCUCUCGUUGUCAAGAUCACCCUGCAUGUCCCUGAGCACCUGAUUGCUGAUGGGAGCCGCUUCAUCUUGCUGGAGGGGAGCCAGCUGGAUGCCAGUGACUGGCUGAACCCUGCCCAAGUGGUUCUCUUCUCUCAGCAGAACUCCAGCGGACCCUGGGCCAUGGACCUCUGUGCCCGGCGGCUCCUGGACCCCUGUGAACACCAAUGCGACCCCGAAACUGGGGAAUGCCUCUGCUAUGAAGGCUACAUGAAGGAUCCAGUACAUAAGCACCUUUGCAUUCGGAACGAAUGGGGGACAAACCAGGGGCCAUGGCCUUACACAAUAUUUCAGCGAGGCUUUGACCUGGUUUUGGGAGAGCAGCCCUCUGAUAAAAUAUUUAGAUUCACCUACACUCUUGGGGAGGGCAUGUGGUUGCCCCUCAGCAAGAGCUUUGUGAUUCCACCAGCCGAACUGGCCAUCAAUCCAUCAGCAAAGUGCAAGACGGACAUGACCGUGAUGGAGGAUGCUGUGGAGGUCAGAGAGGAGCUGAUGACUUCAUCCUCCUUCGACAGCCUGGAGGUUCUCUUAGAUUCCUUUGGGCCGGUGCGCGACUGCAGCAAAGAUAACGGGGGCUGCAGUAAGAAUUUCCGCUGUAUUUCAGAUCGCAAGCUGGACUCCACUGGUUGCGUGUGCCCAUCUGGACUCAGUCCCAUGAAGGACAGCUCUGGCUGCUAUGACCGCCACAUCGGGGUGGACUGUUCCGACGGCUUCAACGGCGGCUGUGAGCAGCUGUGCCUCCAGCAGAUGGCGCCCUUCCCGGACGACCCCACCUUGUAUAACAUCCUCAUGUUCUGUGGGUGCAUCGAGGACUACAAGCUUGGUGUGGAUGGACGCUCUUGCCAACUCAUCACGGAGACCUGUCCAGAGGGAAGUGACUGUGGGGAAAGCAGGGAGCUUCCCAUGAACCAGACCCUCUUUGGGGAGAUGUUCUUUGGUUACAACAACCAUUCCAAGGAAGUGGCUGCCGGACAGGUGCUGAAAGGAACAUUCAGGCAAAACAACUUUGCUCGUGGUUUAGACCAGCAACUGCCAGAUGGUCUUGUGGUGGCCACUGUGCCCCUGGAGAAUCAAUGCCUAGAGGAGAUCUCGGAGCCCACCCCUGACCCUGACUUCCUGACUGGGAUGGUGAACUUCAGUGAAGUGUCUGGGUACCCUGUGCUGCAGCACUGGAAGGUCCGGUCUGUGAUGUACCACAUCAAACUCAACCAAGUGGCCAUCUCUCAGGGUGAGCACUGCUGCGGGCUAUCCUGCCCACCUUCCCUGGAACUUAGAAGUCCUUUCCAAGGGGUGAAGCCUUUGGUCCCACUGUUGAAGAUGCAGCCUAAAAUGUAGCUAUUGCAUGAGGUGUGUGAGCUAUUUACUCAGAUUUAUCCAGAAGAGCAGAUGGCUAGAAUCGAAUUCUUUUCUAAGUAGAGAUUACAUUGCACGUGUUAUCUU